rnacentral:rRNA from 1 species
GACGAACGCUGGCGGCGUGCUUAACACAUGCAAGUCGAACGGAAAGGCCCUGCUUUUGUUGGGGGCUCGAGUGGCGAACGUGUGAGUAACACGGGAGUGACCUGCGCUGGACGUGGGAAUAACGUCAGGAAACUGGGGCUAAUACCUGAUAGGUGCGCCUGCUGCAUGGUGGGGGUUGGAACGUUUCGGCGGUUGGGGAUGGACGCGCGGCUUAUCAGCUGGUUGGUGGGGUAGUGGCUUACCAAGGCUUUGACGGGUAGCCGGCCUGAGAGGGUGACCGGCCACAAUGGGACUGAGAUACGGCCCAGACUCCUACGGGAGGCAGCAGUGGGGAAUAUUGUACAAUGGGCGGAAGCCUGAUGCAGCAACGCCGCGUGCGGGAUGAAGGCCUUCGGGUUGUAAACCGCUUUCGCCUGUGACGAAGCGUGAGUGACGGUACUGGGUAAAGAAGCACCGGCUAACUACGUG